rnacentral:tRNA from 1 species
GGUCUGAUAGCGCCACUGCUGGAGCACUGCACCGGCGUUGCAGAGGUCAGGGUUCAAAUCCCUGUUCAGGCCU